AGGGUCCAAUUGGAGCUACAGCUGCUGGCCUACUAUACCACAGCUCAUGGCAACGCUGGACCCUUCACCACUGAGCAAGGCCAGGGAUUGAACCUGCAUCCUCAUGGAUCCUAGUUGAGUUCGUUAACCUCUGAGCCACAAUGAGAACUCCAGUAAGAUAUUCUUUCUACAAAGUUCAAAAGCCAGCAGAACUAAAAUGGGUCUUGCUUGGCACAGAUAUUUUAUAUUUCACUGAUUGUAAGAUGCAAACUGAGGAAAGAUUUUGAAAGAGAAGCACUGGAACAACAAACUAGAAACAAAUAAAAUAGUUCCCUCUAGUGGAGAUAGCGUAGUUCCGAGUCAUGUUGAAAGGCUUUGAAAUAGAAGCAAACCUUUUGUGAGUACAUAUAUUUACACAAUGCAAGCUUUAGACAAGAAGGAGACUCUUUCAGAACUAGAACAACUGGAUAUCUAUAUGAAAAAAAUAAUUUUUGGUUCCUACCUCACUUCAUACAGAACAUUUAUUUUUAGAUAGACCUAAAUGUGAAAGGUAGCGUCUGGAAAAAAGAGAACAACUUCCUUACCCAGGGAUAAGCAAAGUGUUCUUAGAAUGAAAAAAAGCACUAGCCUUAAGUGAAAAAUUGACAAAUUGGGCAUAACUGAAAUUUUAAACUUCAGCUCAUCACAAGUUACCAUUAAAUAAGUGAAAAGGCAAACCACACACUGGGAGAAAAUAAUUACACUGCAUGUAUUAUAAAUAUGUAAAUGUUAAAUAUAAUAUGAGUUCUUGACAAAGAAGUUACAUAUAGAACAUAUGAAAAAUUCCUAUAAAUCAGAAAAACUCUAUAUUGCUAAUGAUAGACUAAAACGGCAAACAAUCCACUUUGGAAAACUGAAAGCUUCUAAGAAAGCUGAACAUGCACACUGAUUUCACACCUAGGUAUACAUCUAUCCAAGAAAAAUGUGUGCAUAUUUCCAUAAACAGCUUGUACAAGAAAGUUCAUAAGAGCUUAAUUCAUAGAAGCCCUAAACAGGAAACAAUCCCACAUUCCAUCUACAGGUACACAGAUAAACACACAAUAGAAUAUUGCUCAGUGAUUAAAAAAAAAAAGUAUAGCUACAAUUGAUCCUCAUUAUUUAUGGAUUCUAUAUUCGAGAAUUUUCCUAUGUGCUAAAAUUUAUUUGUAAAUCCAAAAUCAAUAUGGCAUUUUCACGGUCAUUUAUGGACCUGGAGAGUGGCGAAAAAUCUGAGUCACCCAGUGAACGUUUCUGGUGAGGCUGCACAAGGCCAUGCUCUGACCUCUCGUUUCAGCUCUCAUAGUAUCUAUAAAUGUGCAUCAUUUGUGUGGUCUCUUUAAUGUUACAUUUUCACACUACUGUGCUUUUUGAUGUUAAUUUUGCUAUUUCAAAUGGCCCCCAAUUAUAGUGCUGCAGUGUUGUCUAGUGUUCCUAAGUGCAAGAAGGCUGUGAUGUGUUUUACCAAGGAAAUCAGUGUGUUGGAUAAGCUUCUUUCAGGCAUGAGUUAUGGUGCUGUUGAUAAUGAGUUCAAUGUUAAUGAAUCAACAACAUAUAUUAAGUAAUGUCAUCUUUAAAUAGAAACACAAUAAAACAAAGGACUUGUUUUGAUUGUGUUGGUUUACCUGCAUUGAUCAGCUAAUACCGUUCUCUCUAUAUUUUGAUAUGUUUGUUUAUAGGUGAAAAAUAAAAUAUUGCCUGCCAUUUCAGUAAACCAAAGUGUCACAGUCAUCGGUGAUUGUAGCCACCUCCAAGGGUGAGCAGGUGAGCCCUGAGGGAACUCAGGAAGGAAACAGAGAACACUUGCCAUCUAAGCAGCUAUCAGACUUGCAGCCGCUCCUAACCUUGAACCCUGAGGAAACUCAGGAUCUAAAAACACAGGCUAUUGGCCCCAGAUAGCUGAGGUGCAUAUCAAAGGAAUGAUUUUAGUGAGCUGAGACCUUUUCAUUUUUCCAUUCAUAGAAAAGUGCUGAAGUCCUUAACUUGAGAUAGCAAUUUUUCUGUUAUUAGCAGUCAUCUUUUGUUCUUACCACCUCCCCUUCAUUGCAAAACUCCUAUAUAUCCUAGCUUUCCCCUCGCCUCCACAGGAGAAGUUAUCUCAAGGUUACUUGAGAUGCUGCCUCCCAGGCUUAAGUCCUCAGUUUUGUCCCCCAAAUAAAAUACAACUCUCAGAGUCCCUACUGUGCCACAGUGGAUUAAGGAUCCAGCAUUGUCACAGUUGUGUUGCAGGUUGCAGCUGCGGCUUGGAUUCACUCCCUGACUUGGUCACUUCCAUGUGCUGUGGUUGUGGCUAAAAACAAAACCCACAAAACUCUCAAUUUUUAGGUUGUGCAUAUUUUUUUCAGUCAACAUAUUGGACAGUUAAAACUGUUGUGAGUAGAGACUUGCAGGAGCAAUGAUUCUCUAUUUUCUAAUUCAAUGUUUGCGGACACUUUAUAGAACGAACCACUUGAAAUAACAAGAACUGACUGUCAUGUAACAUUAUGCAUGAAUCACACAGACACUGAACCAUAUACAAAAGAAUAUGUACUGCCGGAUUCCACUUAGAUCAUGCUCAAGAAGAGCAAAUCUAAUGGAAGUUGGAAAAGCAACGAUGAGGGACUAUUUAUUGGAAAAUAGAAAAAGGCUACUCUUUGGGUUGAUGGAAAUGGAAGAUGUAUAUUGACCUGGGAGGUGGAAAUUAAGAACUGGUUCUUUUUAAUGACUGCGGAGCUCUUUCAACUCAACACUUCAGGUUUGCUAGCUGCAAUGUUCCUCUACAGCCACAUGGUGGCAGUGUUGCAGAAAUGAAGAAAAUUCUGGCUGAGGUUUGCAUCCCUGUCCUUUCUAGUUCAGAUGUUUAAUUUCAGGUUGUCUUCCAUCUUCCUUUUAUUUAUC
rnacentral:lncRNA from 1 species